rnacentral:rRNA from 1 species
CGUUUUUGGGUGGAUAGACACGCUAGUCGAGUGACUCAGGCAAAACGAGUCACGGCACACAGCUCAGUAACACGUGGCUAAUCUGCCCUUGGGACGAGAACAACCCCGGGAAACUGGGGCUAACUCUCGAUAGGUGAAGAACUCUGGAAUGAGUCUUUGCCUAAAUAACUUCACGUUAUCCUCGUGAAGUCGCCCAAGGAUGAGGCCGCGACCGAUCAGGUUGUUGGCGAGGUAAUGGCUCACCAAGCCUUUUACCGGUGCGGGCCGUGGGAGCGGGAGCCCGGAGAUGGGUACUGAGACAAGGACCCAGGCCCUACGGGGCGCAGCAGUCGCGAAAACUUUGCAAUAAGCGCAAGCUUGACAGGGCUAUCCCGAGUGCCAUCCGCUGAGGAAGGCUUUUACCCAGUCUAGAACGCUGGGGGAAUAAGGAGAGGGCAAGUCUGGUGUCAGCCGCCGCGGUAAUACCAGCUCUUCGAGUGGUGUGGAUGUUUAUUGGGCCUAAAGCAUCCGUAGCUGGCUAGGUAAGUCCUUUGUUAAAUCCACCGAAUUAAUCGUUGGAUUGCGGGGGAUACUGCUUGGCUAGGGGGCGAGAGAGGCAGACGGUAUUUUCGGGGUAGGGGUGAAAUCCUAUAAUCCCGGGAAGACCACCAGUGGCGAAGGCUGUCUGCUAGAACGCGCCCGACGGUGAGGGAUGAAAGCUGGGGGAGCAAACCGGAUUAGAUACCCGGGUAGUCCCAGCUGUAAACGAUGCAGACUCGGUGAUGAGUUGGCUUAUUGCUAACUCAGUGCCGCAGGGAAGCCGUUAAGUUUGCCGCCUGGGGAGUACGGUCGCAAGACUGAAACUUAAAGGAAUUGGCGGGGGAGCACCACAAGGGGUGAAGCCUGCGGUUCAAUUGGAUUCAACGCCGGG